UAUUAUUAAGCUGGUCUGAUUGAUUCUCAAUGAAAAACUGUCAAUAUCCUGACAGAUGACAUUAAAGAAAAGAAUAGUACAUCACCACCAAGGAAGGUGAACGAAAACUAUGCCAGAGGAAUUGUGCCUUUGUUCCCGUACCUCAGUGUCCCCUUCUUCAAAAAUGGCUAUGAGCAUUACUAUGAUGUUGGUAAGAGUGCCACCGGAUACUUGCUAUGGAGAAUCAAAACUAUACAGAGAGGCAUUUCUAACGAGGAAUAUAAUUUGAAGGUACAAAAUGAAAAGAGAAAUGUCAUUGUGCCACUUUUCACAGCAGUUUUGUAGCUACUGAGUUGCAUUAACUGUGACUAAGGAUUAACUUCAUAUAGCAUUCUUUAAGCAGUGUUGAUGAUCUUAAAAUGUUUGUUGUUUGUGUCUUGUCAAGGCCAGAAGAGACCAGGAAAGGUGUCUACAUCUCAAGUAGAGAGAUCUUUUAGAAGGUUUG